CCUACGGGGGGCAGCAGUGAGGAAUAUUGGUCAAUGGACGAGAGUCUGAACCAGCCAAGUAGCGUGAAGGAUGACUGCCCUACGGGUUGUAAACUUCUUUUAUAUGGGAAUAAAAUGUUCCACGUGUGGGAUUUUGUAUGUACCAUAUGAAUAAGGAUCGGCUAACUCCGUGCCAGCAGCCGCGGUAAUACGGAGGAUCCGAGCGUUAUCCGGAUUUAUUGGGUUUAAAGGGAGCGUAGGUGGAUUGUCAAGUCAGUUGUGAAAGUUUGCGGCUCAACCGUAGAAUUGCAGUUGAAACUGGCAGUCUUGAGUGCAGUAGAGGUGGGCGGAAUUCGUGGUGUAGCGGUGAAAUGCUUAGAUAUCACGAAGAACUCCGAUUGCGAAGGCAGUUCACUGGACUGCAACUGACACUGAGGCUCGAAAGUGUGGGUAUCAAACAGGACUAGAUACCCGUGUAGUC
rnacentral:rRNA from 1 species